AAGGAUAAUGACGUGUAAAGGUGCUUUCGAGUAAUCUGACCCCGUGCUACGGGGCGGCCAGCGCGGCUGGCCCCAUUUUACAGGUGAAGUGAGUCCGCCCAAGGGUAAGGCUUGCCCGAGGCUACGCAGCGGCUGCACCUGGAGCACUACCGGGCUCCCGCGCCCGAGAACCUCAUCCUGGAAUUCACCUAACGCUUGCGAGCCCGUCACAAACGGGGCUGCGAUUGGACAUCGGGCCUUUCUAGACCCUCUUUAAUUUUUGGAAACUACAAAAACCCAUUCACCUGCAAUUGGACUCUCAAGAUGAACACGAACACCUCUAAGUGCACAAUAUGUGGAUAGCAAGCAUUGUAUCCCAGAGGAGAUCUGAGGGUCAGUUGAACGAUGGUAGAAGACGGUGAAUUCUCAGAGACAGCGAGGAAGAGACCAGUCCCAGAUUCACCCAUUUGUCAGAGAGCUUCAGAACCGAGCCAGAAUCGGGCUGGCAGGUGGCGUGGUGGCUAAGUUGCUCGACUCCCACAUGACCAAC